AUGACAAAGGCAGCUUUCACGGGUGGAGAGCAGGUCAGCCGUCCUCAAAACAUCUCGCACACCCUGGUGGGUCCCCAAGUGUCACUCAGCCUGAAGGAAGUUGUCCAUCAAAGCCGGGGAGGCUGUGGGAAUACCUGCAGGGCAGGAGGUGGCAAAAGACCGGUCUCUUUCAUCUUUAUGCCAAGCUCAGAGACUCUCCACAGAGAAGAACUGAACCUGAGAGCUGCCUACCCCCAGAGAGAUCAUUUCAUGAACAUGAAGGAAAUGAAGCCCAGCCUGGUGGAGGAAGGUCCCAAACUUGAAAUAGGAAGCUGCUUACAGAAGUCAAGAGAUGGUGAUACACGGACCUGCCACGCACCCAACCAUAAAGACCUCCAAAAGCUAAGAAGCUCACUCAUAACCCUUAGCCCUUGGUUGAGCUUACAGUGCCUUUCCCUGAUCUCACAGAUGUUUCCUCAAGGAGGUGAGGUUCAGAAGGGAUGCAAGAGCUUCUUGCUGUACUGGAGUGAAAGGAAAGGCAGUGGCAGAAAACUAGCACUAAUUGAUCCUAAAAAAAGGAGUAGUAAUCACAAUCCAGUCAAAGAAAAAGAUUUGCUUACCUAUCCCAAGGAUCAGAGCCAGCCAAACACUCCAAAGGAGAGAUCCUCAGGUAGAGAUCCUUACCCAGAGGCAGCCAGCCCUCAAAUAAGGCUUAGGAAGGAGGGGAACCAGGUUCCACCCCUUCUGGUUGCAUUGGUGAAUUGCUUUCACCUGUGCUCCCAGAGCUGGCUGUGUUACUCUACCAGGUGCUCAAUCAUUGGUUCAGGCCAUGACUUAGUAAUUCCCAUACAUGGGGUCGAGUCCAAGGACAUAACCUGACCUGGGGCUACCAUGGCUGGAUAUCCAACCUGAACAUCCCCUGGCACAACUUAUGGCCAUUUCCUGAAGAGAGCAAAGGCAGGAAGCACUCAAACCCAGCCUGGCAUUUUUGUGUGUUUUGCCCUGAAGUCUGCAAUCCCAACCCAAGGAUGCUGAAGAAAUGGCUGCACCUGAGCCCUUAUUCCUGAGACCCUGCACCUGAGUGUGCGGAUAUGCAUCUGUGCGUGUGUGCCAUGCACAGAAACUUCUGCAGCAAUGCUAAUGGCAUGGAGAAAAGCCAUUAAAAGGAGGAAGAGUUGAGGUUACAGUAUUGUGCUGAAAACUUUAUUGCUGCCUGUAGAGACAUCAGGUCUGUACUUCCAGGAUUACUCAGUGCUUAGUGCCGAGUGCCUGCACAUUAGUUUUGCCGGGAAGCCCAUUUGGGGUUCUUCCAAAAUGGAAAAAUUAAAGGGCUUCCCUAAUAAAAGUGCUCUCCUAAAAAAAAUAAAUAACUAA
rnacentral:lncRNA from 1 species